rnacentral:rRNA from 2 species
CUUGGUGAUCUUGGCAUUUUGGAACCACCUCUUCUCAUUCCGAACAGAGUCGUGAAACAAAAUAGCGCCGACGAUACUGUCGCCCAACUCGGUGAUGGGAAACUAGGUAAUUGCCAAGG